AGUGAACGCUGGCGGUAGGCCUAACACAUGCAAGUCGAACGGCAGCACAGUAAGAGCUUGCUCUUACGGGUGGCGAGUGGCGGACGGGUGAGGAAUACAUCGGAAUCUACUUUUUCGUGGGGGAUAACGUAGGGAAACUUACGCUAAUACCGCAUACGACCUACGGGUGAAAGCAGGGGAUCUUCGGACCUUGCGCGAUUGCAUGAGCCGAUGUCGGAUUAGCUAGUUGGCGGGAUAAAGGCCCACCAAGGCGACGAUCCGUAGCUGGUCUGAGAGGAUGAUCAGCCACACUGGAACUGAGACACGGUCCAGACUCCUACGGGAGGCAGCAGUGGGGAAUAUUGGACAAUGGGCGCAAGCCUGAUCCAGCCAUACCGCGUGGGUGAAGAAGGCCUUCGGGUUGUAAAGCCCUUUUGUUGGGAAAGAAAAGCAGCAGGUUAAUACCCCGCUGUUCUGACGGUACCCAAAGAAUAAGCACCGGCUAACUUCGUG
rnacentral:rRNA from 1 species